ACAUGCACACGCAUGCACACACACACACACACCUAGGUAACCACACAGGUAGGAACAGGACGUCACCUGGAGUCGGUUCAAACAAAAUCUGUGUUUGACGACAACAAAAGUACAACUGAAAAAAAAUCACACACACACACACCCAGAUACAACAACACAAUAACUCCACAGACCGGACGGGGAGGGACAAGGACGGGAAGAGGGGCAGUUACGGGGACAGGACAUGACCUGGACUCAGUUCAAACUGACACACACAUGAUCGUCCCUCGCUCUGUCCCCUUCCUGCCUCUGUGUGUGUUCCAGUGAAACACUAACCUGAGGACUGUUUGUCCUGGAAAACUCUCACAUGUCAUCACACAGGAAUGCAGCGCUCUGAGCUGAUCUGAGAGCAGCCAGCGAGUCCUGCAGGAAGAGCACCAGGGACCACCAGACGUCCCCUCCUGUCUGACUGCAGACUUACUGUAACCCUCCAGCAUGACUAAUAAUGACCAAAAUGUCCCCAUUGUCCUGAAGUGGACCUGCUGUCUCUAUUGAUCUGAACUCCUGUUUGUCUUUGUGCUGCUGCAACAGCUGAGUUUCCCAUCUGAGGAUCAAUAGAGGAUUUUAUCUGAACCCAGAGCUCAGAGCUGCGUAACCAGGACGACGUAGUCUGAAGUUACUGAGGUUAGGUUCAGGAAAAGAGACACGGUGAGGAUGUACCGUAAAAUGACUCAGAGUUUACACAGAUCCGUACAUGCGUCUCCAGGGGAAAGUCCCGAGCUGAAGUCCAGUUUUUCGUGACCCAUCCACCCCAACCUGCCUCCUUACAAACGCUCAGGACUGCGUCCUUGUUUGCUGCCGUCAGCUCAUUGGUCAGGUGAUCUCAGCCCCUCAAAAUAUGUGGGAUAUGUACGAAUUUGGAUGCACUGCUUCUUGUGAGAAAACAUGCGGAAAACUCUGUGAGAGCAGCCUGAACAGGACGUGAAGAUGUUCUCUGUCUUCAAAUAAAAUAUUCUGUUAGUUCAUGUUUUGCAGUUUAUUAAAACAUUUCUUCAUUAAGUCGGCAAAACGUCAUAUUUUUUUAUUUUCUGUUGAGUUCUUAUAAAGAGACAGCUCGAGAAUAGAAGAUCGCGGGUCCAUAAAUAGAAACCAUCAUCAUCCUCACUGUGACCUCGUCACAUGUCCACGUUUGGUCAUGGACUUUCCACGUCCACAUAUGGCGUCCAAGGUACCCUGGGUGUGUUGGUUGUUGACGUUCUGGGACGCCGUGUCAACUUCAG